GAAUUCUUUCGCUGACUAAUGUUAAUAAAUAUGAUUUUAGAUUUUGAAGGAGUAGUCAUAUCUUGUUGCGGAUAUUUUGGAGUUAGUUUAGUAUUCAUAUCAGGUACGGAUUCUACUUCUUUCUCUCCUUUUAUUUAAAUAAUAAAUAUUUAUUAUAUUUAUUAUUGUGACAUCUUUAAAAUCUCUUUUGUUAUUACACACUACUCUUUUCAUUUGGCCUCCAUAUAUUUGAGUUAUUGUUGCCUUGACCCAUAUUGCUUCCUUUCGUUUUAUUAUUGUAUCACUGUAUAUAUUUUGUUCAUUGAGUCGGCAACUUUUGUAAUUGGUUGGGCUCUUAAACUUAUCCGUGUGGGUAAAUCACGGACAAUGUUCACAUGGAGUUCGUAGUAAAGGUGAACUAGACACCAACUCGUAUCGGUGAUUUAAGCAUACGAGCACGUUUCUGGGGUAUGAGACGUGAGAAGAUCAUGAUCGUUAUUGUUUUGGGGAAUGUUUUAUACAUUCUUUAUUUCUUCUUGUGGAUAGCCGAAGAAGAAAUCAUUGUUCUGUAUUUGCUCGGUGAUUGGAGUUGAGCAAGUACAGUUUUGUGUAAGAGACCCGUAUUGUGUCAUCUAUUCAUCAUUGAGUCCUAUUUAUAGUUCAUUGUUUAUCUCGAUUAUUGUGACUUGAGUUACUAUUUGUACUAGUUUAUUACAUCAUUGUUUCGAGAUUAUUGACACUCCUUGCACUUGCACCGACAUUAUUUUUAUAUUCGUACUGGGCAUUGGCUCACUCCGUUUGUUCUCUUUCCGCAGGUAAUCAGGGGUAGCAGGGAGCGUGAUUGAGUGACACCCACACUUAGUUGCUUUAGGGGCUAUAAUAAGACUUCAGGAUUAAUAUUCAUAUUGUUUUAAGACUUUGUUAGAGUUUUUAUUAUGGAGUUUCAGAUUUUAGUAUUUACUAUGAUUUCUUAGUUUGCU
rnacentral:lncRNA from 1 species